rnacentral:rRNA from 1 species
UACGUAGGCAGCGAGCGUUGUUCGGAGUUACUGGGCGUAAAGCGUGCGUAGGCGGUGUCUUAAGUUUGUUGUGAAAUCUCCCGGCUUAACCGGGAGGGUGCGGCGAAUACUGAGAUGCUGGAGUGCGGGAGAGGUAAGCGGAAUUCCUGGUGUAGCGGUGAAAUGCGUAGAUAUCAGGAGGAACACCUGCGGUGUAGGCGGCUCACUGGCUCGUAACUGACGCUCAGGCGCGACAGCGUGGGGAUCAAACAGG